UCCAGGAGAGGUGACUUUUGGGAGAGAGGAGGAAGUGCAGAGGAGAAUGAUGGCAGCAGCUCCAUCCCUCUGCUCGUUGCCGUGGAAACAGUGCGGGUACCAGCCCAGGGGUGCACACACCUUUCCAGGCCGCCUUCCAAACCUGGGAGCAGGGGUUGGAAAUGGAGCUUCUGCAUUCCCUGAGCUCUUUAAUAUUCCCCUGGAGCAGGUCAUUGUCUCUCAUGUCAGAGACACACAGGGAUCCAUCGGAGCAGGGACGGAUCUGGAGGGCACUGGCAUCCAGCAGAAAAGGCUGAUGUCAUUAUGGGAUAGAAGGGAAGACGAGGUACAACACAACACUUAAGAAUGGAAUUGUCAGCACUGU